GGGGAUGUGGUUCAGUUUGGGUAGAGUGCUUGCCUAACAUUCCUGAAGUCCUGGGUUCAAUGCCCAGCAUCGCCU
rnacentral:tRNA from 1 species